rnacentral:rRNA from 1 species
UGGUACUUGUACCGACUGGAUGAGCAGCGAACGGGUGAGUAACGCGUGGGGAAUCUGCCUUUGAGCGGGGGACAACAUUUGGAAACGAAUGCUAAUACCGCAUAAAAACUUUAAACACAAGUUUUAAGUUUGAAAGAUGCAAUUGCAUCACUCAAAGAUGAUCCCGCGUUGUAUUAGCUAGUUGGUGAGGUAAAGGCUCACCAAGGCGAUGAUACAUAGCCGACCUGAGAGGGUGAUCGGCCACAUUGGGACUGAGACACGGCCCAAACUCCUACGGGAGGCAGCAGUAGGGAAUCUUCGGCAAUGGACGAAAGUCUGACCGAGCAACGCCGCGUGAGUGAAGAAGGUUUUCGGAUCGUAAAACUCUGUUGGUAGAGAAGAACGUUGGUGAGAGUGGAAAGCUCAUCAAGUGACGGUAACUACCCAGAAAGGGACGGCUAACUACGUGCCAGCAGCCGCGGUAAUACGUAGGUCCCGAGCGUUGUCCGGAUUUAUUGGGCGUAAAGCGAGCGCAGGUGGUUUAUUAAGUCUGGUGUAAAAGGCAGUGGCUCAACCAUUGUAUGCAUUGGAAACUGGUAGACUUGAGUGCAGGAGAGGAGAGUGGAAUUCCUGGGUUAAGCGGG